GUAGGUGAACCUGCGGAAGGAUCAUUAACGAAAUUAUAAUCCGGCGAGGGAAAGGCGGAGAGUUGUAGCUGGCCCCCUGGGGCAUGUGCACGCUCUCUUCUGGACUUUUCGCCGUAUGGGCGCGGGGCGACCCGCGUCUUCAUAUACCUCUUCGUGUAGAAAGUCUUUGAAUGUUAUCAUCAUCAUCGAGUCGUGACUUCUAGGAGACGCCAUUCUUUGAGACAAAAGUUAUUACAACUUUCAGCAACGGAUCUCUUGGCUCUC
rnacentral:misc_RNA from 1 species